rnacentral:misc_RNA from 1 species
CGCAGGUUCAUGCCUGAAAAAGGCACUCCUGAAUAUGAGGAGCUUAAAACCAACCCUGAUAAGGCUUUCCUUAAAACAGUCACUGCCCAGUUACAGACUGUUAUUGGCAUUUCCCUUAUAGAAAUUUUGUCAAGGCAUUCAUCAGAUGAAGUGUAUCUUGGGCAGCGAGACGCGCCUGGAUGGACAACAGAUGAUAAACCAUUAGAGGCCUUUGAGGAAUUUGGAAAGAAGCUGGAAAAAAUUGAGGAGAGGAUUAUACAGAUGAACAAAGAUGGGGAAUUGAAGAACCGUGUUGGACCAGUUAUGAUG